rnacentral:rRNA from 1 species
UUAAAGAAUUUCGGUCAUCGAUGGGGAUGCGUUCCAUUAGGUUGUUGGCGGGGUAACGGCCCACCAAGCCUUCGAUGGAUAGGGGUUCUGAGAGGAAGGUCCCCCACAUUGGAACUGAGACACGGUCCAAACUCCUACGGGAGGCAGCAGUGAGGAAUAUUGGUCAAUGGACGAGAGUCUGAACCAGCCAAGUAGCGUGAAGGAUGACUGCCCUAUGGGUUGUAAACUUCUUUUAUACGGGAAUAAAGUGAGGCACGUGUGCCUUUUUGUAUGUACCGUAUGAAUAAGGAUCGGCUAACUCCGUGCCAGCAGCCGCGGUAAUACGGAGGAUCCGAGCGUUAUCCGGAUUUAUUGGGUUUAAAGGGAGCGUAGGCGGACGCUUAAGUCAGUUGUGAAAGUUUGCGGCUCAACCGUAAAAUUGCAGUUGAUACUGGGUGUCUUGAGUACAGUAGAGGCAGGCGGAAUUCGUGGUGUAGCGGUGAAAUGCUUAGAUAUCACGAAGAACUCCGAUUGCGAAGGCAGCUUGCUGGACUGUAACUGACGCUGAUGCUCGAAAGUGUGGGUAUCAAACAGGAUUAGAUACCCUGGUAGUCCACACAGUAAACGAUGAAUACUCGCUGUUUGCGAUAUA